rnacentral:rRNA from 1 species
CCUACGGGUGGCAGCAGUGAGGAAUAUUGGUCAAUGGGCGAGAGCCUGAACCAGCCAAGUCGCGUGAGGGAGUACUGCCCUAUGGGCUGUAAACCCUUUUUGCCGGGGAGCAAAAGCCGGACGUGUCCGGCUGUGAGAGUACCCGCAGAAAAAGCAUCGGCUAACUCCGUGCCAGCAGCCGCGGUAAUACGGAGGAUGCGAGCGUUAUCCGGAUUUAUUGGGUUUAUGGGGUGCGCAGGGGGAGUUUUAAGUCAGCGGUCAAACCGUGGGGCUCAACCCCAGACAGCCGUUGAAACUGGGGGGCUAGAGUGUGCGAGAGGUAUGCGGAAUUCGUGGUGUAGCGGUGAAAUGCAUAGAUAUCACGAAGAACCCCGGUUGCGAAGGCAGCAUACCGGUGCGCAACUGACGCUGAGGCACGAAAGCGUGGGUAUCGAACAGGAUUAGAUACCCGAGUAGUC